rnacentral:rRNA from 1 species
AUCAGCUACGCCACGGUGAAUACGUUCCCGGGCCUUGUACACACCGCCCGUCACGCCAUGGAAGCUGUGAGCGCCCGAAGUCCGUGCAGCAACCCGCAAGGGGGCAAGCGGCCGAAGGCGAGCGCAGUGACUGGGGCGAAGUCGUAACAAGGUAGCCGUAGGGGAACCUGCGGCUGGAUCACCUCCUUACG